rnacentral:sRNA from 12 species
AAGCGAAGAAGUAAGGUUUGUUGUGCCAGAGGACAGUACCUUACGAGCUUUAUAAGGGUUUGGCAUUUACCACAAUCUGGCUAGAGAAUGCAGACUCUCAAAAGAAAAUGCCAGAG